GACGAACGCUGGCGGCGUGCUUAACACAUGCAAGUCGAACGAAGAGCGAUGGAAGCUUGCUUCUAUCAAUCUUAGUGGCGAACGGGUGAGUAACGCGUAAUCAACCUGCCCUUCAGAGGGGGACAACAGUUGGAAACGACUGCUAAUACCGCAUACGAUCUAAUCUCGGCAUCGAGGAUAGAUGAAAGGUGGCCUCUACAUGUAAGCUAUCACUGAAGGAGGGGAUUGCGUCUGAUUAGCUAGUUGGAGGGGUAACGGCCCACCAAGGCGAUGAUCAGUAGCCGGUCUGAGAGGAUGAACGGCCACAUUGGGACUGAGACACGGCCCAGACUCCUACGGGAGGCAGCAGUGGGGAAUCUUCCGCAAUGGACGAAAGUCUGACGGAGCAACGCCGCGUGAGUGAUGACGGCCUUCGGGUCGUAAAGCUCUGUUAAUCGGGACGAAAGGCCUUCUUGCGAAUGU
rnacentral:rRNA from 1 species